rnacentral:lncRNA from 10 species
CCCUUUGUGAGAAGUGGGAGGGGGAGCCCCUUCCUCUGGACAGAACAGCCCAGCCCAGGGUGCAGAGCAUGGAUUCCAGCCCAGUGGUCCGUCUGCCAGGGCCCUCAUGUGGAGAACAGCCGGCACAGCUCAGAGGCAGCCCCCAGGAACCCAUGAGACACCUUCCAUGGUAGCUCCCUUGGCAAGGGAGCACAUGCCAGGGAAGGGCCACAUGGGCUUCGGGGGUGGAGUUCUGCCUCAGGGAGGGAUCCCUGUCACCCCUGCAGGAAGGGGCAGUUCCCGAAGGGGCUAAGUAGCCCUGGGGACAGGGAAGCAGCACAGAUGACAACACAGAGCGUGGCCCUGGUCUCCAAGCUCAUGACGCAGAAGCUGCACGUGCUCCAGCAAGGGCAGGCCAUCACCACCCUGUGUGGCCUCACCUCAGGCCACGGACCAAGGAAGGCUGGGUUUCAGGCAUCCCUCCUGCAGCCGCCAGCCUCCCCUUGCCCCACUCCCAGAUCCAGCUUCCUCCUCCCAGAAGAGCAAAGAGGCAAAAACACAAGGCGGAAAUCAGCCAGCCCCUGGCCACAGAGGACAUCCUGCCUAUGGGCAGCAGCCCAAGCCACAUGCAGUGGCCCCCGCCAAGCUUGCUAGCCAUGUCCUUUCCCCCUUCCUGUGCCAGAACAGGACAGAGUCUCCCAGGUAACCCUUUCCUCUUCCCACAGAAGGGAAGGGUCUCUGGUGCAUGAGGGGAAGCUCCUUUUGCCUCAGGCUCCAAGGACAGUGGGGACAAGCUAAGUCAACUGGCAUCUGCUAAGCCCCCAUCACAGUGGUUUGUUUAGGGAUUGGCCUUUCUCAACAAGCAAGUAUUUAGUGAGCCUCUGUGUUCAGGCCUCCGAGAACACAGCACAGGGGAAGCAUCUAAAAGCCCUGCCCUGGUGGCCCUCACAUCAGGUCACAGGGCCAGUGAGCCGCUGUGGCCUGAAACUCACCCCAGCUGAGGGCCUUGUGGGGCUGUGGGAUUCACUACCCUCCACGGAGAAGCCAUCCCCAGGGAGGGUUCUAGAAACCCCACCAUACAUUGCUUCAUUCUUCCCCUCCCUCGGCAAACGCCUGCCGGGCACCUGCUUGUGUUAGUGCAGGGCCCAACACUAGACUCACUAUGAAGAGCUGCCUUCACUCCUGGGAACAUCAGGAGGGACCCUCCCCUCUGCAUUCUACUGACAGAGCCCCCCAGCCAAACAAUCCUCCUCAGCCCUGGGAUGCAGCACGGCACCCCCAUCCCUGCACAGUGGGCUGCAGGAUCCCCAGCGUCCCCAGAUGGUAAGGGUGGCUCCCUGUGCCUCAGCCACUUUUAACAAGUGUGCUUUCCACUGAACACCUGCUUUCCCUCAGGGAGCCUAGAAUUUGGGUACAUGCUACGCCCUAGUAAAAACCCUGGGCGCUGAGUCCCUAAGAGUAUCCUGUAGCUGACAGUUCACAAGUGUUGUCAUAACCUGACACUGGAGAAAAUAACCUUGUCCUGUGUAGCUGCACCAGGACAGGCUCUUGGGAACUUGCGCCCAGAUCCCCGGACUCUGCCCCACGUGACUUUCCCCUGCUGGCUUGCUCUGUGUCCUUUCGUAGUAAUGAACCAUGCUGUGAGGAUAGCACCACGUGAUGAGGGCUGUGAGUCCUCCUGAGAAAAUCACCAACACUGGGAGUGGUCUUCGGGAAACUUGACGCAAGCUCCAAGGCCAAUAACUUCAGAAAAAUCCACAAACUGAAAGCCACUGUAAAGGAGAAAGCACCAGGCUCCAGGAGGCUUCCCUACACAGACUCUGGGGUAAUUCACGCUCACUCCCCACGGGGCUUUUGGGCAGACAGACCCCAUUCUGCCCUCUGGUGUCCACAGAGUCCCCGAUGAGCUGAACACCAAAUGCUCGGAGGCCCUGGCCACAGGGAUCAGUGUCCACCAGCAACCUGGUCCAUUCAGGGUGGACGCUUUGACCAAUGGGUGGGAAGUCUUAAAAGGAGCACACCUCAGGCCAGGGCAGGCCACACCCCCCACACCCUGACACAGCCUCAGGAAUGGGAAUCUCCCCUUUUCUAAUACCCAACAUGAAGGAAAAGCCCACUCUCUGUCUGCCCGUUCUGUGUUUUCUUAGAUUCUGCAUGUCUGUUUGACAUUCUCAAGGCCAACUGUUGGCCAAAGAGAUUCCCUCCGGCUACGAGGCAGCUUGGUGGGCCCCACUGUAUUAGUCUUUCAUGUUGCUGCAAGGAAAUACCUGAAACUGGGUAAUUUAUAAAGAAAAGCGGUUUCUUUGGCUCACAGUUCUGCAGGCUGUACAGGAAGCAUGGCACCAACAUUUGCAUCUGGUGAGGACUUGGGAAGCUUCCACUCAUGGCAGGAGGCAAAGGGGGAGCAGGUGCCUCACCUGGCGAGAGAAGGAGCCCGAGAGAGGGAGGAGGUGCCAGGCUCUUUAAACAACCAGAACUUGCGUGAACUCGUAGUGAGAACUCAUUACCACGAGGACAGCAGCAACCACUGAGGAGGCAUCAGCCCUCAUGAGCCAAACACCUCCCAGCAGGCCCACCUCCAGCAUUGGUGGCCACAUUUCAACAUAUGUGGAGGGGACAAAACAUCUCAGCCCUAUCUCCCACCCACCUCCAUUAUCUGACUCUUGCACAUCCAGCCAACACUCCCCGUACCCAAGUCAUUCCAGGGCCAGGAAGCAGGCAACUAGAGCCCCGCUACAGCCUGAAGCCCACAGAAUGAUUGGUGCUGGCAGAUGCUAAGCUGCUCACCUCCCUGCAGAGGACACCCCCCAUGCGGGCUGAGGCCUAACCCCUCCCCAGCCCCCGCCUCCUGUCUCCUGACCACCCUGACAUGCCUGCUAGAGAAGAGGGCUACUGUGUAAGGACAAAUCAGAGCAACUUGAGGAUCAAGUUGCUGCCUCGUUCCCCAGCACCAAUGCGGAGGCCUUGUGGGAAGGGUAGCCAUGGAGCCAGUCCAGACUGGAAGACACAAGGCAAGUCCCGCCUGUCCAGACCUGCUGGUACCUCCCACCUGCAGGACGUGAAAUCACAGCAAAAAGGAGACAAGGAUUAUUUUAAAGAGUGGAGAGAGAGGGCCCGGAGUGGUGGAUCACGCCUGUAAUCCCAGCACUUUGGGAGGCCAAGGUGGGCAGAUCAUGAGGUCAGGAGUUCGAGAUCAGUCUGGCUGACAUGGUGAAACUUUGUCUAAAGAUACAAAAAAUUAACCAGAAGUGGUGGUGCACGUCUGUAAUCCCAGCUACUCGGGAGGCUGAGGCAGGAGAAUCGAUUGAACCCGGGAGGCAGAGGAUGCAGUGAGCCGAGAUCGUGCCAUUGCAAACUGCAAUCCAGCCUGGGCGACAGGGCAAGACUUCGUCUCAAAAAAAAAAAAAAAAAAAAAAGAGUGGAGAGAGAGAAAAGACAGUUUUGUGUUCUUUUGCACUGAUAAAAUAAGAAAUAUUUAUUCUCU